CUGAUUUGGGAGAUGAAAGGAGAGUUGGCCUCAGAUGACUUUGAGAAGAGAUAACGACCAACGUGAAAUGGCAGCCAGCAGAGAACAAACGCAAGAACCACCACAGCUGAUAAAGGGAGAGAGAAAGAAAAAAUUGGUCCGACUGGAUUCUCCUUUCUUCUCCAGAGCCUUCUGCCUAUGAGGCUGUAUAACACUGUCAAACAGAGGACCGGGAGGAAGAAAAACACACUGGAGACCCAAACCAUCAUAGUAAGCAGUCCGGACCGGAUGGCAUAUUCGGUCGCUUUACACUCAUUGGUUUCCCAGGGGUUGGUGCCGUUCUCGUGCUCGACCCCAACCAGAAUGAAUAUGGGUCCCGCGCUGCACAGAGCCACAGUCCAGAGGAGUAAAAUCACUCCUUUUACCCGACCCCGCGUGACGAUGACUUUUGCUCUGAAGGGAAAACAGAUAGCGAAGUAUCUUUCCACGCUCAGGGCGGUGAUGUUGAGGAUGGUGGAGUACGUGCAGCUUUCACUCACAAACUGAAAGAGUUUGCACAGCUCGUCGCCAAAGUUCCACGGUCGAUACCGCCAGACCCGGUACAGGUCGAGGGGCAUGCAGAGGAAAAUGAGCAGGUCUGAAAGUGCCAUGCUGCAGAGGUAAAGAUUAGUGGUGGUUCGCAUGUCUUUGUAUUUAGUGACCACCAAAAUGGUCAACAGGUUCCCAGCAAUUCCGACGAGGAACAGGAAAGAGCACGUCACUGUGAUGCCAGUCAGUAUAGGGACUGGGAAGAGAUGGACCGGGUACUCAAAGUCCUCAGCAGUGGCAUUACUGUCCAUAACGUCCUCAGCACAUAAAGUGAUGCUGAACGGGCAGCUGGACCCGUUUGUCCAAUUAGUCAUUAUGAUGAAGUUUCAGAGGAUUUGCAUGGGCUUAAUGGCACCUCAUGAUUUCCACCCAGCUGUUGUUUCCAUGCACAUCUUACAGGUGUUCAGUGCACAGUAUGAGAAGUGCACGCGAGUAACCUGUCAAUGAUGCGACCUGAGCUGCGCGCGGGGGGUACACGAUCCACUCCACGCAUGCGCAUAGGAUACCUUGACUAAUUGUACUGUGAAAUGCAGAUUUGUGUAUUUGUUCCUUUGCGGUGUAUUUUGUAUGUUUGCAACUGUCCUUAGCGUUUUUAACAUUUAUAACAGAUAAGAUAGGCUACUUAUUGCAUUAAUAGAGCGAUUGAAAGCUGGAUUGCAAGGUGAUGGGUAAUAUUUGUUCAUUUUAUGCCACCUGGUGGUGUGACUAGACCAUCUUAUUCAAAAGAAUAUGUAACAGAAAAAUGAAUCGUCGUGCUUUCCUUUAAUAAAUAGAAGCGGCGACUGCUGCUGUCCAGGGUGCUGAAA